rnacentral:sRNA from 1 species
ACGCCAGAAACCAGUGGAUCCUGACAAUUACACAGUGAUUUACAUUUUGAGGGGGUGCUCCAGCUGUUCUUUCACCAGCAUUUAAUCCAUUUGUUGGAGUUUGCAUAUAUAAGUAUACUAGUUAUCAAUCUGCGGUCUUUUCUUUUUUCCUAGACUGUUACCAAUGCUGUGGUCACAGUGCCAGCUUACUUUAAUGACUCUCAGCGUCAGGCUACCAAAGAUGCUGGAACUAUUGCUGGUCUCAAUGUACUUAGAAUUAUUAAUGAGCCAACUGCUGCUGCUAUUGCUUACGGCUUAGACAAAAAGGUUGGAGCAGAAAGAAACGUGCUCAUCUUUGACCUGGGAGGUGGCACUUUUGAUGUGUCAAUCCUCACUAUUGAGGAUGGAAUCUUUGAGGUCAAGUCUACAGCUGGAGACACCCACUUGGGUGGAGAAGAUUUUGACAACCGAAUGGUCAACCAUUUUAUUGCUGAGUUUAAGCGCAAGCAUAAGAAGGACAUCAGUGAGAACAAGAGAGCUGUAAGACGUCUCCGUACUGCUUGUGAACGUGCUAAGCGUACCCUCUCUUCCAGCACCCAGGCCAGUAUUGAGAUCGAUUCUCUCUAUGAAGGAAUCGACUUCUAUACCUCCAUUACCCGUGCCCGAUUUGAAGAAUUGAAUGCUGACCUGUUUCGUGGCACCCUGGACCCAGUAGAGAAAGCCCUUCGAGAUGCCAAAUUGGACAAGUCACAGAUUCAUGAUAUUGUCCUGGUUGGUGGUUCUACUCGUAUCCCCAAGAUUCAGAAGCUUCUCCAAGACUUUUUCAAUGGAAAAGAACUGAAUAAGAGCAUCAACCCUGAUGAAGCUGUUGCUUAUGGUGCAGCUGUCCAGGCAGCCAUCUUGUCUGGAGACAAGUCUGAGAAUGUUCAAGAUUUGCUGCUCUUGGAUGUCACUCCUCUUUCCCUUGGUAUUGAAACUGCUGGUGGAGUCAUGACCGUCCUCAUCAAGCGUAAUACCACCAUUCCUACCAAGCAGACGCAGACCUUCACUACCUAUUCUGACAACCAGCCUGGUGUGCUUAUUCAGGUAUGUUUCUGUACUUUUGUUUGGCUUACUGAAAACAGAUAAAGGGAAGUCUUGACUGACUCGCUAUGAUGAUGGAUUCCAAAACCAUUCGUAGUUUCCACCAGAAAGUCUCAUGUUGGCCAGUUCCUUCCUUGGAUGUCUGAGCGACCAUUCUUCCUUAGCAGGACUCUAGCACUAUGACAGAGACCUGAAGUCCAUUGCAGUAAUUCGUUUUAUUCCCUACCAAGGUUUAUGAAGGCGAGCGUGCCAUGACCAAGGAUAACAACCUGCUUGGCAAGUUUGAACUCACGGGCAUACCUCCUGCACCCCGAGGUGUUCCUCAGAUUGAAGUCACUUUUGACAUUGAUGCCAAUGGUAUCCUCAAUGUCUCUGCUGUGGACAAGAGUACAGGAAAAGAGAAUAAGAUUACUAUCACUAAUGACAAGGGUAAGUAGGCACGAUCAUCUGGUCUUGACAGGGAUCAUAAUGGUAUUUCAGUUGAGUUACUGGUGCCUAAGGGCAUCUAGCUAAGAGAAACUAGAGUUACACAGGUAAUUCUUUUCUAGGCCGUUUGAGCAAGGAAGACAUUGAACGUAUGGUCCAGGAAGCUGAGAAGUACAAAGCUGAAGAUGAGAAGCAGAGGGACAAGGUGUCAUCCAAGAAUUCACUUGAGUCCUAUGCCUUCAACAUGAAAGCAACUGUUGAAGAUGAGAAACUUCAAGGCAAGAUUAACGAUGAGGACAAACAGAAGAUUCUGGACAAGUGUAAUGAAAUUAUCAACUGGCUUGAUAAGAAUCAGACUGCUGAGAAGGAGGAAUUUGAACAUCAACAGAAAGAGCUGGAGAAAGUUUGCAACCCCAUCAUCACCAAGCUGUACCAGAGUGCAGGAGGCAUGCCAGGAGGAAUGCCUGGGGGAUUCCCUGGUGGUGGAGCUCCUCCCUCUGGUGGUGCUUCCUCGGGGCCCACCAUUGAAGAGGUUGAUUAAGCCAACCAAGUGUAGAUGUAGCAUUGUUCCACACAUCUAAAACAUUUGAAGGACCUAAAUUCGUAGGAAAUUCUGUGGCAGUUUUAAAAAGUUAAGCUGCUAUAGUAAGUUACUGGGCAUUUUCAAUACUUGAAUAUGGAACAUAUGCACAGGGGAAGGAAAUAACAUUGCACUUUAUAAACUGUAUUGUAAGUGGAAAAUGCAAUGUCUUAAAUAAAACUAUUUAAAAUUGGCAC